rnacentral:lncRNA from 1 species
AUGGUCCAGGCUUGCAAAUCAGACAGACCCGGUUCAAUGGCUGGUGGGGUGACCAUGGGUAAGUCCCUCACGUGGGGGACACACGUGUUCCACAGACAGGCCCCACACUGGGCUCCAGGGCAUUGGGGGUGCCCCAGUACCACUCCUAUCCUCAGAGAAAUCUGUCUCCUUCAGUUCAUCCAAUCAGAAGUCAGCAAGCUCCGGGAGCAGAGCCCGGGAGGAAGGGUUCAGGACACAGGAGCAUUAGCACCCUGCGAAGGCUCUGAGGUUCCCAUCUGUGCCUGCAAGGUCUCAAAGCCAGGGGAACAGAGUGAGCGUGGUGGAAGCUCCCUGGGACCAUCACUGAGGCAAGCUUGGACAAGGGACUGUGGAUGCGACCCCGGGCACAGCUGGGGCAGGGCAAGGGUUACACAGCGCACUUCCAGCGCAUGUUCCCUGCUUCUCCGUCUGCUGAGGACAGGUCCCUGUCCAGGCCACCUGUGGCCUGGGGCACUGACAGCCUGGCGCUGUCAUCCCCAGCCCUCCCGGCUCAGCCUCCACACCUCCUGGGGGCAGAGACCGGGAGUGGGUGCAAGGUGCAUAGCGGGUGGGAAGGGAUGGGCAGAGCCUGCGGGGGGCUGGGGCCGACCUGCUCCGGAGGAUCUGUGGGGUGGCAGGGCCCCUUCCCUCAUCCCCAGUACCUGCUUUUGGAUUGGAAGAGGGACACAUGGGACUCAGCACUCAGAACCGUGGAGUCCCAGCCCAGGGCCCAGCAGGACAACUCCAGCCCAGAAUAUGGAAUGCAGAGUCCAGCACCUUGGGUGAGAGCUGAAAAGCUCAGAACCACAGAAGCUCCAGGUAGAGCCCAGCGUUCCACACCCCCACAGGCAGCACCCUUGGUCCCAGAGACAGGGAGUCGGGAACAGCGUGUAAGAGACCCCGAACCCACAACCAGCGGCCCUAGAGCAGACUCCGGGGCCCUCAGCCUCCUACACCCUCGCAGCGCCUUCCAGGCCCCCUUUGUGCGCUCUCCUCCAGGAAGCCCUCCUGAGGCCCCAGCUAGGCAAGGCCCUCCUUCCCCUGCACCCUCCACUCUGCCUUCCAGGACCCUGAGCUGCUGUCCAUGCCUGACCCCCUGCAGCCACGCCCCACCCCUGCCCUGGCCUGGGUGACCCAGCCCUUGCUCGUGGUACACACUCAAGGCAUGUGUGUGGACUGAAUUCUUGAAUCGUGUCUUGUAGCACACGCUUCCUGGGGUCACACGAUGUAUCUGGUAAAUUCCAGACAAGCUCUCAAGGCUCCUGGUGCCGAGCCCAGGGCUCUGUGCCUGGAAGACUGAGAGGCUGGCACCGAACGCCACCAUGUCUGUGGCUUUAUAGCAUCUCCACUGUUGUCAGCUUCACCUCGAAACCCUCAAAAGUUUGGGUGAGGCUCCAUCUGGGAGUAGGGUGAUGACAGUAGGCUGCCCGGAGGAGGCGGCACUUCAGCGUGCAGGAAGCUGUGUGCGUCAGAGGAGAGCCAGUGCAAAGGCCCAGAAGCAGGAAAUGCACCUGUGCUGAGAGACUCCAGGUGGAGGGAGAUCACGGAGACAAAGGGGACGGCGGGAGGUCCCACGCUGUCCCAGGGGCCAGGCCUUCCCUGGACGGACUCCCGUAUUAGCUAAUCUAACUCUCCAGCUCCCUGAGGAGGUGGGCACUUCCACGUCUGUGUUAGAAAGGAGGAAGCUGAGGCCUGCAGGUGACCCGCUGAGCUCACGCAGGAGCUGAGGGCGGGGCCCAAGCCCCGGCGGUCACCAUGCAGCGCCCCGCACCUGCGCCCCGACCCC